UACGAAGGGGGCUAGCGUUGCUCGGAAUCACUGGGCGUAAAGGGUGCGUAGGCGGGGCUUUAAGUCAGGGGUGAAAUCCUGGAGCUCAACUCCAGAACUGCCUUUGAUACUGAAGAUCUUGAGUUCGGGAGAGGUGAGUGGAACUGCGAGUGUAGAGGUGAAAUUCGUAGAUAUUCGCAAGAACACCAGUGGCGAAGGCGGCUCACUGGCCCGAUACUGACGCUGAGGCACGAAAGCGCGGGGAGCAAACAGG
rnacentral:rRNA from 1 species